UGGGGAAUUUUGGACAAUGGGCGCAAGCCUGAUCCAGCAAUGCCGCGUGAGUGAAGAAGGCCUUCGGGUUGUAAAGCUCUUUCGGACGGAAAGAAAUCGGCGGGGUGAAUAAUCCUGCUGGAUGACGGUACCGUAAGAAGAAGCACCGGCUAACUACGUGCCAGCAGCCGCGGUAAUACGUAGGGUGCGAGCGUUAAUCGGAAUUACUGGGCGUAAAGCGUGCGCAGGCGGCGCUGUAAGACAGGUGUGAAAUCCCCGGGCUUAACCUGGGAAUGGCGCUUGUGACUGCAGUGCUCGAGUGCGGCAGAGGGGGGUGGAAUUCCACGUGUAGCAGUGAAAUGCGUAGAGAUGUGGAGGAACACCGAUGGCGAAGGCAGCCCCCUGGGUCGACACUGACGCUCAUGCACGAAAGCGUGGGGAGCAAACAGG
rnacentral:rRNA from 1 species